UGAAAAGGUGCUAUUCGGGACUCGAUCGU
rnacentral:sRNA from 1 species